rnacentral:rRNA from 1 species
GACGAACGCUGGCGGCGUGCUUAACACAUGCAAGUCGAACGGAAAGGCCCUGCUUUUGUGGGGUGCUCGAGUGGCGAACGGAUGAGUAACACGUGAGUAACCUGCCCUUGACUUUGGGAUAACUUCAGGAAACUGGGGCUAAUACCGGAUAGGAGCUCCUGCUGCAUGGUGGGGGUUGGAAAGUUUCGGCGGUUGGGGAUGGACUCGCGGCUUAUCAGCUUGUUGGUGGGGUAGUGGCUUACCAAGGCCUUGACGGGUAGCCGGCCUGAGAGGGUGACCGGCCACAUUGGGACUGAGAUACGGCCCAGACUCCUACGGGAGGCAGCAGUGGGGAAUAUUGCACAAUGGGCGGAAGCCUGAUGCAGCAACGCCGCGUGCGGGAUGACGGCCUUCGGGUUGUAAACCGCUUUCGCCUGUGACGAAGCGUGAGUGACGGUAAUGGGUAAAGAAGCACCGGCUAACUACGUG